rnacentral:sRNA from 1 species
AGGGCUUCCCGUGCCCCGGGAGCACCGAGGGCCAGCUUGGUGGAGCUUAGCACAGCUUGCUCGGCGCUGCGAGCGGGCGGGGGUGGACACUGGGCUUCUGUGUGCCAGUCGCAGCCGUUGGCUGGCGGGCACCCAAUCCCAGGGCAUGCCGCCGGAGCCUGGCCAGGACGCACGGUGAAAGACGAGUUUGGUGGCAGGCUUGACCCCCCGGCUGCCAGCAGAAGCCGGCGUCGGGAGCCCAGGCGGGCAGGCCGCUGGGGUCGGGGGCUGCACCUACGAGAGCCGGGACCCCCGGGUUCAGAGCGAAGGAGGAGGCAUGGCUUCGGUGUUCAUGUGUGGCGUGGAGGACCUGCUAUUCAGCGGCAGCCGCUUCGUAUGGAACUUGACCGUGUCCACGCUGCGGAGAUGGUACACGGAGAGGCUGCGGGCUUGCCACCAGGUGCUGCGGACGUGGUGCGGGCUGCAGGACGUGUACCAGAUGACAGAAGGCAGGCACUGCCAGGUGCACCUCCUGGAUGACAGGAGACUGGAGCUGCUGGUUCAGCCCAAACUUCUAGCAAGAGAGUUGCUGGACCUAGUGGCUUCACAUUUCAACCUGAAAGAAAAGGAGUAUUUUGGAAUAACAUUCAUAGAUGACACAGGUCAGCAGAACUGGCUACAGUUAGAUCACCGAGUUCUUGACCACGAUUUGCCCAAGAAACCAGGCCCAACCAUUUUGCACUUUGCUGUGAGGUUUUACAUUGAGAGCAUAUCGUUUUUAAAGGAUAAAACCACCGUGGAGCUGUUUUUCCUGAAUGCAAAGGCCUGUGUGCACAAGGUAGGUGCUCCGUUUGUCGUGUUCACUGGAUGCCUCCAGAGCGACUGGGAUGACAGGAAGAAAUGGUUUUGCCUCUCUUCUUGCAUUCAAACUAAGGAAAAAAAAA